rnacentral:rRNA from 1 species
UGCCAGCCGCCGCGGUAACACCAUCACAUCAAGGUUUAUACAAUUACUGGGCAUAAAGCGCACGUAGGCGGCCUGAUAAGUCAGUUGUGAAAGCCCUCGGCUCAACCGGGGAACUGCAAUUGAUACUGUCAGGCUCGAGGGUGGUUGGGGUGAGUGGAACUUCUGGUGGAGCGGUGAAAUGCGUAGAUAUCAGAAGGAACACCAGUGGCGAAAGCGGCUCACUGGACCACAUCUGACGCUGAGGUGCGAAAGCUAGGGUAGCGAACGGGAUUAGAUA